CCUACGGGAGGCAGCAGUGGGGAAUAUUGCACAAUGGGGGAAACCCUGAUGCAGCGACGCCGCGUGAGUGAAGAAGUAUUUAGGUAUGUAAAGCUCUAUCAGCAGAGAAGAAAAUGACGGUACCUGAUUAAGAAGCCCCGGCUAACUACGUGCCAGCAGCCGCGGUAAUACGUAGGGAGCCAGCGUUAUCCGGAUUUACUGGGUGUAAAGGGGGAGUAGACGGGAGGACAAGUCUGGAGUGAAAUGUAGGGGCUUAACCCCGGAACUGCUGUUGAUACUGGGCAGCUAGAGUGCAGGUGAGGUAGGUGGAAUUCGUAGUGUAGCGGUGAAAUGCGUAGAUAUUAGGAGGAACACCAGUGGCGAAGGCAGCUUACUAGACUGUAACUGACGUUGAGGCUCGAAAGCGUGGGGAUCAAACAGGAUUAGAUACCCCUGUAGUC
rnacentral:rRNA from 1 species